rnacentral:rRNA from 1 species
AUUGAACGCUGGCGGCAGGCCUAACACAUGCAAGUCGAGCGGAUGAAGCGAGCUUGCUCCUGGAUUCGUCGGCGGACGGGUGAGUAAUGCCUAGGGAUCUGCCUGGUCGUGGGGGAUCACGUCCUAAUACCGGCGCUAAUACCGCAUACGUACUGUUGGUGCCAGUAGAUCAUCUUCGGACCUCACGCCAUCAGAUGAGCCUAGGUCUGAUUAGCUACUUCGCGGGGUAAAUGCCUUACAAGGCGACGAGCCUAAACUGGUCUGAGAGCAUGAUCAGUCAGACUGUAACUGAGACACGUCCCAGACUCUGACGGGAGGAAGCAGUGGGGAAUAUUGCAGGAUGGGGGAAUGCCUGAUACAGCCAUGCCGCGGGUGGGAUGAAGGUCUUCGGAUUGUAAAGUGCUUUAAGUUGGGAGGAAGUGAAGUAAGUUAAUACCUUGCUGUUUUGACGGUACCAACAGAAUAAGCACCGGCUAACUUCGUG